rnacentral:rRNA from 1 species
ACGCGUGAAACCUUACCAGGGCUUGACAUCCUACUAAUACUGUAGAGAUACGGUAGUGCCUGCUUGCAGGAGAGUAGAGACAGGUGGUGCAUGGUUGUCGUCAGCUCGUGUCGUGAGAUGUUGGGUUAAGUCCCCGCAACGAGCGCAACCCUUGUCAUUAGUUGCUAACGCGUAAUGGUGAGCACUCUAAUGAGACUGCCGGGGACAACUCGGAGGAAGGUGGGGAUGACGUCAAAUCAUCAUGCCCCUU